AAAGCUUUAAGUUAAUUAAUCAAACUAUUAACCUUCAAAGUUAAAAAUAUGUCAAGCAUAAGCUUUA
rnacentral:tRNA from 1 species